GAGAUCUCACCUGAAUCUGGAAAAAGCAUCUACUUUUUCCACAAAAAAAAACCCAUCAGUUAAUUUAAUUAACAAACUCAAAAAAUAGAUAACUGUCUCUGAAUUAUACAUUUUUUUAUUUUAACCAUCUUAAAUCAGACAUGAUUAUUCAUUUUUAUUACGGCUAUUCCAAAAAGAAGAAAAAAGAAUAACAGGUGCAGUGUCGUCAUCUUCUUUUUCUUUAAAAGAAAAACAGAUUGAAAGGGAAGCUGGUGAAGCAAUCACACCAAGCGUAUAUUAGCAGCAACCAUAGAUCACUCAUCCUCCUCCUUUCUAGAAUUGCAUCUAUAGAUACAGUUAAGGCGGU
rnacentral:lncRNA from 1 species